rnacentral:lncRNA from 1 species
GAAUUCUGAGAUUGGGGUGCCAGCAUGGUCAGGUUCUAAUGUGGUCUCCCUUACUGGCUUGCAAGCUGCCCCUUUGUCCCUGUGUCCUCACACAGGAGAGAGAGCUCUGCUAUCUCCUCCUAUGUUUGUAUGGGCACCAGCCCUCUUGGAUUAGGGCCCUACCUCAUGACGUCAUUUAACCUUUAUCACCCCCUCACAGGCCCUUUCUCCAAAAACAGUCACCUUGGUGGUGGUGGGGAGGGAGGAUGUUAGGGUCUCCACACAGGCAUGUUGAGGGGACGCAAUUCAGUCCAGAGCAUUUGAUUUAAGCAAUUUAGGAAUAUUUUGGAGAUUAUACUUUAAAUGAUGUGCUCAAUAAUAUUUAGGCACUUUUUUUGCAAGCCUGUACUUAAGGCUUGCAACGUCUUUCUCUUGCUGUCAAUUUGCAUAAAAUAUUUAAACUAUGCUCUUAAAGCAGAACAUCUACAUAGACUCAAAAGCAAAUGAAAAUUCUCCGCAAAUGCAAAUCUAGAAUUAAAUGACCUAAGCAAAACAUGUUUUACAUUCAGAAAACCACCUUAAUUUAAUGAGCAUUCCAGUUCUAUGAAACAUAUAAUGACAUAAACAUAAUUGACUUUAACCAACUUUGGGAAGAAAUCGCUCAUAUACAAAUAAAUAUCCUCUCCAUUGUCUGUGUCUAUCUUCGGUCAUAUCUUUACUGUGCAUUUUGAGGUGUCCUUAAAAAAUGAAAAGUGACAUUAAUAUAUGUCUUUGUUUAUAGUGAGAGAAAAGUCCUAAAGUACACAAUUUACAAUUUUGUUUUUAACCUCACUUUCACAUAUUUUUGCUCCAAAAGCGAGAUAUCACUUAGAAAAAGUUGAAUGGUAUAGUCAAUAACAUGUAAUAAGUCUUCAUUAAGCUUUUUUGUGUCUUUUUUUCCAGAAACUGAGAAAGUCAAGAACUAAUGACUGGGUUAAAAAUUUUUUUUUGGUAAAUUAGGUGAUUUUCAGUUCUUUGCUUUCAAUAGAAUAAAAGAAGGCCCUAAUCAAGUUAUCAAUAAGUAGAUAAUAGAUAAUAGAUCACUAUGCUUUUUUUGACUUAUAACUAAGAAGGCAUUCAAAUAACAGAGUGACAUUUCCAUAAGAAAAUGCCUAACAUUCUCAUUACUUUUUUUCUUUUUUUAUGGUCACUCCUCCUGGGAAUCUCCAUGUGCCGCAGGUGUGGCCCUAAAAAGACAAAAGACAAAAAAAAAAAAAAAAAAAAAGAAAAA